UACGUAGGGGGCAAGCGUUGUCCGGAAUUAUUGGGCGUAAAGAGCUCGUAGGCGUCCCGCUAAGUCGGAUGUGAAAUCUCACGGCUCAACCGUGAAACUGCAUCCGAUACUGGCGGGCUUGUGGCAGGCAGGGGGAGGUGGAAUUCCUGGUGUAGCGGUGAAAUGCGCAGAUAUCAGGAGGAACACCGGUGGCGAAGGCGGCCUUCUGGGCCUGUACUGACGCUGAGGAGCGAAAGCGUUGGGAGCAAACAGG
rnacentral:misc_RNA from 1 species